rnacentral:rRNA from 1 species
GUGAAGCGGAGAAUUUAAGCCCCAGUAAACGGCGGUGGUAACUAUAACCAUCCUAAGGUAGCGAAAUUCCUUGUCGGGUAAGUUCCGACCUGCACGAAUGGCGUAACGACUUCUCUGCUGUCUCGACCACAGACUCGGCGAAAUUGCAUUACGAGUAAAGAUGCUCGUUACGCGCGGCAGGACGAAAAGACCCCG